rnacentral:misc_RNA from 1 species
GAUCCGUUGGUGAACCAGCGGAGGGAUCAUUACCGAGUUUACAACUCCCAAACCCAAUGUGAACGUUACCAAACUGUUGCCUCGGCGGGGUCACGCCCCGGGUGCGUCGCAGCCCCGGAACCAGGCGCCCGCCGGAGGAACCAACCAAACUCUUUCUGUAGUCCCCUCGCGGACGUUAUUUCUUACAGCUCUGAGCAAAAAUUCAAAAUGAAUCAAAACUUUCAACAACGGAUCUCUUGGUUCUG